rnacentral:rRNA from 1 species
CCUGGUCUUGACAUCCACGGAAUCCUGCAGAGAUGCGGGAGUGCCGCAAGGAACCGUGAGACAGGUGCUGCAUGGCUGUCGUCAGCUCGUGUCGUGAGAUGUUGGGUUAAGUCCCGCAACGAGCGCAACCCUUGUCCUUAGUUGCCAUCAUUAAGUUGGGAACUCUAAGGAGACCGCCGGUGACAAACCGGAGGAAGGUGGGGAUGACGUCAAGUCAUCAUGGCCUUUAUGACCAGGGCUACACACGUGCUACAAUGGCAAGUACAGAGGGAAGCCAACCGGCGACGGGGAGCAAAUCCCAGAAAACUUGUCGUAGUCCGGAUUGGAGUCUGCAACUCGACUCCGUGAAGUCGGAAUCGCUAGUAAUCGCAGAUCAGCAUUGCUGCGGUGAAUACGUUCCCGGGUCUUGUACACACGCAAUC